GGACAGUUGGCCGAGUGGUUAUGGCGCCAGUUUCAGGUACUGGUUUCUUACGAUUCGGGGGUUCGAAUCCCCCACUGUUCA